GAUGAACGCUGGCGGCGUGCCUAAUACAUGCAAGUCGAGCGAACAGACGAGGAGCUUGCUCCUCUGACGUUAGCGGCGGACGGGUGAGUAACACGUGGAUAACCUACCUCUCAGACUGGGAUAACUUCGGGAAACCGGGUCUACUACCGAAAAAUUUAUUGACCCUAUUGUUUAAUUGGUAAAGGCGGGUUUUUUGUUACUUUUAAGUGGAACCGGCGCCCAAUAAGCUGGUUGUUAAGUUACCGGAUUACCAAGGCACCGAGGCGUAGCCGACCGGAGGGGGAGAUCGGCAAGACUGGAAGUGAGACACGGUGCAGACUCCUACGGGAGGAAGCAGUAGGGAAUCUUCCGCAAGGGGCGAAAGCCGGACGGAGCAACGCCGCGUGAGGGAUGAAGGUCUUCGGAUCGUAAAACUCUGUUAUUAGGGAAGAAGAAAUGUGUAAGUAACUAUGCACGUCUUGACGGUACCUAAUCAGAAAGCCACGGCUAACUACGUG
rnacentral:rRNA from 1 species